rnacentral:rRNA from 1 species
GAUGAACGCUAGCGGCAGGCCUAAUACAUGCAAGACGAACGGUAAGUUUGAUAGCAAUAUUGAACCUAGAGUGUCGUAAGGGUGCGUAACACGUAUGCAAUCUACCCUCAACAGGAGGAUAGCUCCCCGAAAGGGGAAUUAACACUCCAUAAGAUCACAGGAUGGCAUCAUUCAGUGAUUAAAACUCCGGUGGUUGAGGAUGAGCAUGCGCAUGAUUAGUUAGUUGGCGGGGUAAUGGCCCACCAAGACGAUGAUCAUUAGGGGAACUGAGAGGUUGAUCCCCCACACUGGCACUGAGAUACGGGCCAGACUCCUACGGGAGGCAGCAGUAGGGAAUAUUAGAAAUGGACGAAAGUCUGAUCUAGCAACACCGCGUGUGCGAAUAGGAACGUCCGUUCGGUACGUAACGACUUACGUUUACGGGAAGGUAAGUAGGAAGGUAAGGUACCGGUUACCUACCGGAAAUAAAGUCUCGGGCUAACUACGUGCCAGCAGCCGCGGUAAACUCGUAGUCGU